AGCGAACGCUGGCGGCAGGCCUAACACAUGCCAGUCGAACGAAGCCUUCGGGCUUAGUGGCGGACGGGUGAGUAACACGUGGGAACGUACCUUUUGGUUCGGAACAACUCAGGGGAACUUGAGCUCAUACCGGAUGAGCUCUUAGGGGGAAAGAUUUAUCGCCGAAAGAGCGGCCCGCGUUAGAUUAGCUAGCUGGUGAGGUAAAGGCUCACCAAGGCUACGACCUAUAGCUGGUCUGAGAGGAUGAUCAGCCACACUGGGACUGAGACACGGCCCAGACUCCUACGGGAGGCAGCAGUGGGGAAUCUUGCGCAAUGGGCGAAAGCCUGACGCAGCCAUGCCGCGUGAAUGAUGAAGGUCUUAGGAUUGUAAAAUUCUUUUACCAGGGACGAUAAUGACGGUACCAGGAGAAAAAGCCCCGGCUAACUUCGUGCCAGCCGCCGCAGUAACAC
rnacentral:rRNA from 1 species